GCGGGUGUAGCUCAAUGGUUAGAGUUCCAGCCUUCCAAGCUGGUUGUGCGGGUUCGAUUCCCGUCACCCGCUCCA
rnacentral:tRNA from 1 species